GAAUCUCUUCAGACUUGCCUUCUGCAAAUCACUGGGUAUGGAAACCUUACUGCAGAUGUGGAAAAACUGCACAGAAAAUCCUGUGAUUCUGAUAGUGCCCAACGUGAAGAAAUGCUUUUGAAGGUUGGAAGACAUCCUCUUAGAGCCCACAGCAGAUCUGGGUUAUGAAUACCCAUGUACUUCUCAGUUUGGAGUUUCUCAGCACUGCACAGACUACAAAGUAUGAGCAGAUCCAGGACUCUCAGAUUGGUUCCCAAGGAACUUCCUUUGCUCCCAGACCAUGAAGUUCUCCCUCAUCUUGUG